rnacentral:lncRNA from 1 species
AAAUUUAUAUGCCUUACCUCCAAAUGAAAGCAUCUUUGAUACAUCUGGAGUUCUUUUUUCUGAAAAAAAGGUACCACAACUCCUUUGUUAAACAACCCUCCAACUCUAGUUUGGACUCGGGUUUUUCGAGUUCGGGCUCAUUUUGCCAUCUACGGAUCCCCGGAUAGCUAACGGUUCAGAUAGCCUGGAGAAGUUUGCUAACAAUUCAAGUCUAAACAAGUAGGGAGAAAAAAAAAAGGAUGAAAAAAGAAACCCAUACUUGAAUUCAAUGUAUGCUAAAUCUUCUGACAAUCUGUACAAUCACACCAUGUCGUGCCCAUCCUGUUGUAUAAAGCCACUUGCAAGACAAUCAACAGAAAUCAACUCUUGCUACUAAUGCAUUCUCACCUACAAUUUUUCUUCAAAAACUAGUCACAUCAGCUCAUUUUAAGAUCUAUAUAUUGCUUCAUUAUGCUCCUUCAUGCUGGAUCUUACUAAAACACAGUUCCUCUUCUUCACAUGGCAUGUCUCCACUUCAAGUUUGUUUGGAUGUAAUUUAGUGAUAAACAGGGGUUUGAUGUCGUUCGGUCCAAACCGGCAUUACAUCCAUUUCAUACUCCGAAAACUAACAUAUCUUUAAUAGUAACAAGCUACAAAAUACUGGCAGAUGUCACAAGAAGCUGUACAUUCACUAAAUCUAGAGACACCAAAGAAGGAUGGCUACUAAUCAUGAUACU